UUUGGAGGAAAUAGUGGUUCGUUAAGUUGCAGAAAAAGACAUCAUCCCUUGAGAUAAAAUUAGGUUUGUUUCAUUUUAAUCCUAAAAUCUUUUAACUGUGGGUAAAAAGAAUCAAUACAGGGGUAUAAAAGGAACCAAAUUUAAAUUUAACUCAAGGGGUCUUGAUGUCGUUUUCCCCCAACAGGACGGAUCACUAUUUUCCCCAAG
rnacentral:pre_miRNA from 1 species